GUUUAAAUCAAACAAAUCUUACUUUUUGUUUCUCUUUUUUUUCACCUUCUCUGUACUUCAGGCUACCUCCAGUUUAUCUCCAGCAGCACUUAGAAGCAGCUGCCAAGCUGUCUUAGCCAACCUAAUAUCUACAACCCUUAUAUGCACUCCUGAAGGAUGUAACACCUGCUUGGGCCUGUGCUUAUUUGCAAAAAAAUAGCAAACACCUAACUAACUAAUUCAAAUGCCUUGCCAAUUAUCAACAGGAAAGCAAACCUUGUUAAAUCUAAAACCUUUUUCUUAGAUGACUCUUAUUGGGCAGACUAGAUGGGCCGAAUGGUUCUUAUCUGCCGUCACAUUCUAUGUUUCUCUUGCCUGUAAAGGUAAAAAGAAAAACCUUAGACAGUUGAAGAAUCAAAUAAAACUCUCCAGAAUAUCUCCAAAUACACUUUGUAGCAGCACUUCGAUGCAGCUGCCAAGCUCUUGAUGGAGAGCACUCAC